UGCAAGUCGAGCGGCAGCACGGGAGCUUGCUCCUGGUGGCGAGCGGCGGACGGGUGAGUAAUGCCUAGGAAUCUGCCUGGUAGUGGGGGAUAACAACCGGAAACGGUUGCUAAUACCGCAUACGUCCUACGGGAGAAAGUGGGGGAUCUUCGGACCUCACGCUAUCAGAUGAGCCUAGGUCGGAUUAGCUAGUUGGUGGGGUAAAGGCCCACCAAGGCGACGAUCCGUAACUGGUCUGAGAGGAUGAUCAGUCACACUGGAACUGAGACACGGUCCAGACUCCUACGGGAGGCAGCAGUGGGGAAUAUUGGACAAUGGGCGAAAGCCUGAUCCAGCCAUGCCGCGUGUGUGAAGAAGGUCUUCGGAUUGUAAAGCACUUUAAGUUGGGAGGAAGGGUCGUUAUCUAAUACGUGACGGCUUUGACGUUACCGACAGAAUAAGCACCGGCUAACUCUGUGCCAGCAGCCGCGGUAAUACAGAGGGUGCAAGCGUUAAUCGGAAUUACUGGGCGUAAAGCGCGCGUAGGUGGUUUG
rnacentral:rRNA from 2 species